UUUGGAUACUGUUUUAUUCCUAAGGCUACUUUCACAUUAGCGUUUUUUGCGGAUCCGUCAUGGAUAUGUAAAAACGCCUCCAUUACCAUAAUACAACAACAUGCAUCCGUCAUGAACGGACCCAGUUGUAUUAUGUCUUCUAUA